rnacentral:tRNA from 1 species
GCUCCCGUAGCUCAAUUGGAUAGAGCGCGGCUUUCCUAAAGCUGAGGUUAGAGGUUCGAUCCCUCUCGGGAGCA